UACGUAGGGGGCGAGCGUUGUCCGGAGUUACUGGGCGUAAAGCGCACGCAGGCGGUCUGUUAAGUUUGGAGUGACAGUUGGUGGCUUAACUGCCAAAGUGCUUCGAAAACUGACAGACUUGAGGGCUUCAGAGGGACACGGAAUUCCGGGUGGAGUGGUGAAAUGCGUAGAGAUCCGGAGGAACACCUGCGGUGUAGACGGCUUUCUGGACCAUUGCUGACGCUGAGACACGAAAGCGUGGGUAGCAAACAGG
rnacentral:rRNA from 1 species